rnacentral:lncRNA from 1 species
GUGAAUCCAUGAGGAACAUCAUUCCCUUCCCAUGGCUUGAUGAGGAGCCAGACUAUAAUUGCAGAACCUUGAAUUCAGCCCGGCCCUGCAAUCUCAGCAUUCAUGGACACUGACUGCUAUGUUGAGAAGAGACUGACAUGGGAGAAGAGGCAGAAGGUAGAAGCGCAAUCAAGAGCAGGAUUGCAAGGUAAAAUUUGUAUUUGCUAAAUCUAAUCUAGCAACUCUAGUUAAGCGAUUAUUGCAAUAAUUGAGAUGAGGCAUGUUGGUGGCUUAUACCAAGAUUGUGGAAGGGAAGAUGGUGAAAAGUGUUCAGAUUCUGGAAACAUUUUUAUGUUAAAUACCACAUGAUCUCACUCAUAUGUGGAAUCUAAAAAAUUGAUCUCAGAGAAGUAGAAAGUAGAACAGUGGUUACCAAAGACCGGGGAGGAUAUGGGGAAGAGCGGAGGAGGAAACAUUGGUCAACAGGUACAAUGUUACACCUAUAUAAGAGGAAUAAGUUCUGACACUCCAUUG